rnacentral:rRNA from 1 species
GACGAACGCUGGCGGCGUGCCUAAUACAUGCAAGUCGAGCGGAACUGGGGGAGCUUGCUCCUUCCAGUUUAGCGGCGGACGGGUGAGUAACACGUGGGCAACCUGCCCUGCAGAUCGGGAUAACUCCGGGAAACCGGUGCUAAUACCGAAUAGUUUGGCGCCUCUCCUGAGGCGCUACGGAAAGACGGUUUCGGCUGUCACUGCAGGAUGGGCCCGCGGCGCAUUAGCUAGUUGGUGGGGUAACGGCCCACCAAGGCGACGAUGCGUAGCCGACCUGAGAGGGUGACCGGCCACACUGGGACUGAGACACGGCCCAGACUCCUACGGGAGGCAGCAGUAGGGAAUCUUCCGCAAUGGACGCAAGUCUGACGGAGCAACACCGCGUGAGUGACGAAGGUUUUCGGAUCGUAAAACUCUGUUGUGAGGGAAGAACACGUACCAACUAACUAUUGGUACCUUGACGGUACCUCACCAGAAGGCCACGGCUAACUACGUGCCAGCCGCCGCCGCAG